CCCUUAGAUGUUCUGGGCCGCACGCGCGCUACACUGAUGCAUUCAACGAGUUUCUUCCUGGUCCGAGAGGAGUGGGUAACCUUUUGAAAGUGCAUCGUGAUAGGGAUAGACUAUUGCAAUUAUUGGUCUUCAACGAGGAAUUCCUAGUAGACGUAGUUCAUCAGACUGCAUCGAUUACGUCCCUGCCCUUUGUACACACCGCCCGUCGCUACUACCGAUUGAACGGUUUAGUGAGGGCCUCGGAUUGGUCUCGGCCCGCUCUUUACCGGGCGGCGCCGUUGGUCGAGAAGACGCUCGAACUUGAUCGUUUAGAGGAAGUAAAAGUCGUAACA
rnacentral:rRNA from 1 species